AAAUCUGCAAAAUCUGUCUUAAAGAAAAUGGUCAGUCUUUCCUUUCUUCUAAACAUCUCUGAUUUUUUCAUCUUGUUUCCUGACUAUUCACAGACAGCAACAAUAACAGAUUCUGGAAAGAAGGAUUUGUAGUAUACACCACUUGCCUCACUGCUUUAUCCACCAACGGACCCUUUAUCUGGGACCAAAGAUUCUGAGCUGAAAGGGCCCUCAGAGCAGCCAAGGCAUGCAUGAGAAGAGAAGGGCUAUGAAGUGGAAGCUGAGGGAGCGUGGACUGCAGGCUUGGGAGAGGGAGCAUGGUGUCCUGCAGAGCCACAUGCUGGCAGAACUGGGUCUACAGACACAUUUUAUUCAGUCCCUAAACCACAGAAAGUGAGGACUUCUAAUAUGUGGUACCAGAGUGUGCAGCAAAGAACCUUCUGCAAAGAGCUUUGGCUGCAGAUGUUCAAGAUUUGCCAUGGACUCCAGAACUCUCAAAUCACUUGGAAAUUUGUCUAUGCAGCAUUAUCUGGUGUCAUGCCUGAGAUAUUGAAGGAAAAGCCCCAGCCUUUCAGGGGUUUCUGAGAAGAA
ensembl:lncRNA ATOX1-AS1 ATOX1 antisense RNA 1